UCUGAUGAAGAUGCAAUCUGGUGCAAAGAGGACGAGGAGGAGACAUGGGUCCCCCCUGUAGGUAUAAGCAUCAUAAAUGAAGCAGCCUUGGAUGGAAACCAAGAGAUAAGCAAGGUUUUCCAACCUUCACUUGAAAAAGUUGAUACCUCAUUAAAGCUGCAGUUCCCGAAACUAGGAACUCCAUCAACUAAGACCCCGUUCUAGACCCUUCUUUUGGUUGGCUGAAAUAGACAUUGGAUUCUGAUGUACUCUACCAAGCAAUAGUCUGGCUCAAAGAAUGGUGGUGAUGAUAGGAUUCAUCUCAACUACUUUAUUUUGAUUUCUCUGGGACAUGUUUGCUAGACAAAACCAAUCACUAGUCUGUUAACAAGAAAUUGAAAUAAUAAACAUCUAUGGAAAUUUAUAUAAACACAAUCCAUGUUUCCUCUGCUUUUUCAUCAAUGUUCUGUCCCCUUGCAAUGCAUUAGAAACUUUUAUCAAAUUUCUUGUUCUUCCUAGCACAAAUGGCAUAUGUCUUCCAGCUAUUAUUUUCGUUCUUUCUUCUGAUGUUCUACUUUGUUUAUUUGAAAGGUUAAUCCAAAUUAUCAACAUUUAAAUUAAUCAACAAUCUACAUGAAACUCAUCAACUAAUAAUGCAUGUGGUUUUUUAAAAAGUUUGAAACAAGCAAGUAUCUGAUGCCUCAUUAGUCAAUGUACAGAU